AUUGAACGCUAGCGGGAUGCCUUACACAUGCAAGUCGAACGGAGUGGCGAACGGGUGAGUAAUGUAUCGGAACGUGCCCAGUAGCGGGGGAUAACUACGCGAAAGCGUAGCUAAUACCGCAUACUCUUGGAGCGGCCGAUAUCGGAUUAGCUAGUUGGUGGGGUAACGGCUCACCAAGGCGACGAUCCGUAGCUGGAUUGAGAGGACGACCAGCCACCUGGGGACGUGGACACGGCCAGUGCUCCUAAGGGAGGGAGCAGUGGGGAAUUUUGGGCAAUGGGGGGAACCCUGAUCCAGCCCUCGCGAGUGUGCGAUGAAGGCCUUCGGGUUGUAAAGCACUUUUGGCAGGAAAGCGGUACCUGCAGAAUAAGCACCGGCUAACUACGUGCCAGCAGCCGCGGUAAUAC
rnacentral:rRNA from 1 species